CCCCAGAGAGUGGUUUCCGGCAGCUCUGUUAUCUCGGGGCUGGCAGGUGGUUUCUGCCUCUCCCUCACUCAGCAAACACGCAGCUUGGUCUCGGCAUGCACCUCGCCUAUCUCAUCCUCACGGUCUUCCUGGGCCAGCUCCUGGGCACCACGGGGCAGAUCAAGGUCACCCAGGAAGAUGGACAAGUCAUGGUGAAGCAGAGACAUCCCUUCCAGACCACCUGCACAUACCAGACCAAUUAUUUUAAUGCUUUGCUGUGGUACCAGUUGCGGAAAGGCCAAGCCCCACAGCUGGUCUCCUAUCACGCAGGGCCUGGCGCCAAGCACAGCGGCCGUAUCACCACGCACCUGAACACCACGGGGAAAUACAGUGUCCUGCAGGUGGAGGAAGUGGAGGUCUCUGACAGUGCCUUGUACCUCUGUGCUGUGCAAGACACCCUGGUGCAGGGAACUUCCUCGGCUGUGCAACAAGCCAGGGGAGGGAGGGAGGGAGGGGAUGUGUCUGUGUGAGGGUGAGCUUGGGGCAAGGGAACCUGAGGUCGCCCCG